rnacentral:tRNA from 1 species
GGAAGGGAAUCGUUCCCCGGUGGGACGGCCUGACUUCAAAUCAGGUUAAGCGCGCCAGCGCGCUUGGGUGGGUUCGACUCCCACUCCUUUCC